GUCACCCGUGGAAGACCCCAGUCAGCCACUGCUUGACUGUGUGCAAACUUUGAUCUCCAUGCAGAGCUUUGUGUCUGCCGUAUUUACUUCAGGAAGGCAUAGUUUUCUAGACUUCUUUCCUGCCCCGGGUACCAUUCUUAGAAAUGGAGGAAGUGCCUGUUCCUCCUUGAGCAUAUGACCCAGCUCUUGUGGAAGACCCCAAGAGAGCCUAGGACAUCAAGGAUCCGUGUCAGUUAUAGCAUGGAGAUGUUCAAGUGAUGGUCCUAGAGCAUUUGCUGUCCUGCAGACAAUGCAGCACAGACAGUGCAAUGCUGACAUACAUUUGCCAAGGGCCGAGAUCUGCCCCAAGCCCCACAGGAACUGAGACAGCCAGAUGAAUGAACCAGCACGGGGUGAAGAAAUAUGAAAGGGAGCGCCUAAAGAUGUGUGAUGGCCCAUCCCUGGGGCUGAAUUCUCCUACACAAGCCAAAGUUUUCCCUUUUAGCCUGCAAGAAAAAUUGUGCUGUUGAAGGAGUUACGAUUGCAGCUGUGGGAAAAGCUGCCAUGCGCUAUCAGUCCUGAUGUUGCUGAAGCAAAGGCCUCUGAGUUCAUGUGGCAGGGUGGAGUGAGGCAAGAUAACUGGAGGAGAAAGAGACUCCAACGCUUUCAAAACAAGAGGCUCAACAACAGACUAGGAGUGACUGCACAGGAAGGCAGUUGUGGGCUUUGUUGAAUCCCUAAAGCUGGAAAGUUCCUUUCAGCGUUCGUAUAAAUAUUUCUGUAAGUUAUUUUUAAGAGUGUGUUUUGAAACUGAAUUAUAUUUAGACCAGUUAAAUGAAAA